rnacentral:rRNA from 1 species
GAACGCACUCUUCGGAGUGAGUGGCAGACGGGUGAGUAACGCGUGGGAACAUGCCCAUCAGUACGGAAUAGCUCCGGGAAACUGGAAUUAAUACCGUAUACGUCCUUCGGGAGAAAGAUUUAUCGCUGAUGGAUUGGCCCGCGUUAGAUUAGCUAGUUGGUGAGGUAAAAGCUCACCAAGGCGACGAUCUAUAGCUGGUCUGAGAGGAUGAUCAGCCACACUGGGACUGAGACACGGCCCAGACUCCUACGGGAGGCAGCAGUGGGGAAUCUUGGACAAUGGGGGAAACCCUGAUCCAGCCAUGCCGCGUGAAUGAUGAAGGCCUUAGGGUUGUAAAAUUCUUUCAGCAGGGAAGAUAAUGACGGUACCUGCAGAAGAAGCCCCGGCUAACUCCGUGCCAGCAGCCGCGGUAAUACGGAGGGGGCUAGCGUUGUUCGGAAUUACUGGGCGUAAAGCGCACGUAGGCGGCUAGGAAAGUCAGAGGUGAAAGCCCAGGGCUCAACCCUGGAAUUGCCUUUGAAACUAUCUAGCUAGAGUUCGGGAGAGGUGAGUGGAAUUCCGAGUGUAGAGGUGAAAUUCGUAGAUAUUCGGAGGAACACCAGAGGCGAAGGCGACUCACUGGACCGAUACUGACGCUGAGGUGCG